rnacentral:lncRNA from 1 species
UCCACCGGGUGGAGUACCGAAUCAUAAGGGCAGACAGAAUUGAGAAGCAUGCCAGUGUCUGGAGGGAUGCUGACAUCAUAGUCUUCAAUUCUUACCUGUGGUGGAGGAAGCAGAAGGAUGACAUGAGGAUGAAGGUCAUGUAAGUACAUUUCUAUCCUUCCUAAUCAUAGUUCAUAGGCAUUUUGCACCGUCACUUUCGUAUAUCAGAAACAAGAUACCAGAACCGGUAAUUUAAAAUGCACUAAAUAGUUUGCCAUUAGUAAUUUAAAAUACACUAAAUAAUUAGCAAAUGCCAUUAGUACAAAGGAGAUCAUAUUUAGCAUUUUAAAUGCCAUUUGUAUGUGCAGGUAUGGUUCAUUUGAAGAUGGUGAUGCAAAGUUAGACGAAAUGGAAAUGGUCGAUGGUUUUGAGAUAGCUAUCAAGAAACUAACGGAAUGGCUUGGAGAGAAUAUUGACAAGAACAAGACUAGGAUCUUUUUUGCAGGAUCAUCACCAACACAUUCCUGGUGAGAGAGAUACCUAUGAAUCAUUUGCACAAAUAGUACAAUACCAACAUCUCCAUGACAUCCAGUGUUCACAUAUAUAUGUUACUUCAGGGCCAGCAACUGGGGUGGAGAAGACAAGAACAAAUGCCUUAAUGAAACGGAGCCAAUCUACAAAAAAGGUUACAAAGCUGCAACUACGGACUACAGCUUGAUGGCCACGGCCAAGUCCUAUUUUCGAACAUUGGAGCCAAAAGGCAUACAUGUUCAGAUACUGAACAUCACUGAACUGUCUGACUACCGCAAGGACGGGCAUCCUACGGUGUACAGGAAACAAUUUGUUCCUCUAACGAAGGAGCAAAUUGCAGAUCCAGCCAGCUAUGCUGAUUGCACGCAUUGGUGCCUCCCAGGAGUUCCCGAUGUCUGGAACGAGUUUUUAUAUGGCUACCUCGUGCACAAAUGAUGUACAAAAUGACAGGUUCCUUUUAUCCCUUUUAUAAAUAUGUACAAAUGACAUACUCCAUUUAGAUUAGGAUUCUCUUGUGCAGAGAAUGGUUGGACCUAUUACAUUUACAUGUAGAGACAGAUAAAAGGAGAAAAGAAAGGAUCUGUCUGUGCAUCACCUAAUAGGAUCGGUGUACUAUUUGUUUACAUCUAACAGGGUGACAUGAUUGUAAAUUUAGAAGAAAUUUGUCAUGGCAAAGAACAGCUUAAGAAUGAUUAACUGUCCUAGACUCCUAGAUGUCCCUUAUAUAUAUAUAUAUGUACAACUCCAUAUAGAUUAGGCUGCUUUAAUUUGUGCAGAGAAUUGUUGCCCCAUUACACUUACAUUACAUAUAGAUACAAAAGGAGAAAAGAAGGAGUCUAUCCAUAAUGUCCGCGAAAUUUUUUGGGUUUGACUACUGUAGCACUUUCGUUUGUAUUUGGUAAUUAUGGUCCAACCAUGGAUUAACUAGGCUUAAAAGAUAUUCGUCUCGCAAAUUACAGACAAAGUGUGAAUUUUUGGGAACUAAACAAGUCCUCAAAGAAUCACAUGUGCAUCAAUGUACUAUUUUUGUUGGCAUCUGACAGGGCAACAUAUUUCUGCAAAUUUCAAAGAAAUGUACCAUGACAAAGAACAGCUUAAGAGUGAGUGAAUAACUGUCCUGGAUGUUUCUGAAAUUUAAUACAUUUACUCGGAUUGCAUCCACUCAAAAAAAAAAACUUGGAUUGCAAAUGCAAAGCUGUUUUGCUUUUCAGAGAAUUUGCAAAUGUAACUGUAAACUUUAGAAAAUGCCUCGUUUAUUUAUUAUUAAAUGAGAGAGUUAUCACCCUUUAGUUAGCAAGGGCAGUUGUACACGGAGAAGAAAGGAAGAGUGACUAAAAUUCUAAAGUCCUAUAACAACUUACAUUUAGCGGUAACCGUACUUAAGCGGUAAAAUCUAAAAUGCAUUAAAUUAUGAUCCAGGGUGAUAGAACAUUCUACCUUUCAAAAACAAAAUGACAGACAUUCCAACUCUCAUUCUUGACGCAUGCGCCGGUAGAGAUAGCGGCACACAUAUCUUCUUCCUCUGUCUUCCUCCCCUCUCUCCCUCCGUGCCCAUCUUCCUCUCCUCUCGCUCGCUGCCCAGGCUGCCGGCGGCCUCGCAGCUCACCAUUUACCCCUGUCGGUCGAACCCGCUCUUCCCUAAUCCCAAUUCAGGAGUUCGCCGGCGACUCCUCGUCCCUGUCGCCGACACCACGCAUCCAGUUAUCUCCCUCUGCCUACUUGGUUGCGUCACUGCCACCUUGUUCAGUGCCCCUCAACCCGCCACCACCGCUGGGCUAGCAGCUGCCCCAUGGCCCCUCCUCCUAAGCCCACCGGCCAUAGAUGGUCGCAAAAUCUGACACCCUAACGAUCACUGCUGCCUCAUCCACCGCCCCAGUCAUGGCAACCUCGUCGCUGCCCGUUCCGCCCACCGCUCGCUCCUUGCCCUGCCCCUGCCCCCUUCUUCUUUAGUUCCGGCCAUGGGAUCGUCAUGUGCGUCGCUUCAGUUAGCUAGCGGCACACGUGCGCCUAAUAGUGAUUGGGUUCAGUGCAUAUAUUAUAAUAUUAUAUAUUAUAUUUGGCAUUUCGAGUCCAUUAAAGCUAAGCGUUCAACCACUACUUGCCUUUGCAGCUAGCCAAAGCACACUUGAUUAUUCUCUUAUAUUUUGUUUAAAAAAAAACUAUCGACAAGAGCUUCACCAAGCAUGCAUUGAUAAAAGAGGAGUAGGAUAAUAAAACACAAUAUCACAGACCCUCUCAACGACAACAAUCUAAAGAGAUCUAAGAACCGACGACAAAAGAUCACAAUAUGCGGGUGAGGCGCACGUGUGUGUGUGUGGGGGGGGGGUUGGGUGGGUGGGUGGGGGGGUGAUUCUCAACAACGGUGCCUCUAAAGAUAUUACGAUAUCCUUAGACUCUGACACUAUGGUUUUCAAUCAAGAUAAACCUAAAAGACUGAGGAUUUCAAAACAAUACCUCUAAUGAGGAACUGUGAUGCAAAAAAGGUUAUCAUAGUCGAAUCGACAAAGUCGAGCAGGGUGUUCACAUGAAAAUCCCCCACCUCCUAAUCCAACCCCCAAAACAAGUAGCCCUACAUUGCUGCACCAAACUAGCCAUCGCCCGUUGGAUGCAUUGUCUCUAGCAGCCAGCGUAAUUAGUGGGAAGAUGAUGCUAUGUUGACAAAGUCAUUGGUCUGCAUGACUUAUUAGCGCGGUGUCAGCUACCAACAGUCGCUACUAUCCCACCAAACACCGUUCACCACGUGUGGCCACACCAAGUUGCUGCAGUAGCCUCCUCCAUAAUCGUUGCAUUAGACCAACCAACGAGCUUGCAACUAUCAAGUCAAUUCCCCACAUAGGCACGAGGAGCCACCUUCAACUAGUCGUACCUCUAAAAGACUGGUCGCAGACAUGUGCGGCCACUUACUGCGAUGCCAGUCAACAUGGACCGUAGCCAACCGAGUUGUUACCAACACCUUACAGAGCACCCAAGUUGAGACCUAACAACUAUGUUGUUUGCUCGUUGUAGAGCCCACCAUGCGCCAUGGCCACUAUGCGCCCCUGGAGCCUCCUCUAGCCUUUUCUUCACAACCGGUGACGAGGUGUGGCUGCCCCUCCUCGUGGGCACGCAUAGGUCCAGCUUGCUGUGCUCUCCACCACUGUUGAUGCACCCGAGCCAAGUUUCUAGGAUUCAUUUUGGAAUUUUUUUUGGCCCCAAUCGAAAUGGACAAAUUUUGGAAACUUCGGUUGAAUUUCGGACUCAAAUUGAUGAUUUUCAAGAUUUGAAUCACAAAAUUUGUUUCAAACCUAACUGAAAUGGACGAACUUCACCUAAGCCUUUCUUUUGGUCUUUGGAGCCACUCAUCUUUUGCUAUGCUUAAAGAAGGCAUGCAAAAAGGGCGUGUGAUUUAGCACCAAGUAGGGUCAUUUUAAGAUACCAAACCAGAACAAAGAUAGGAUGUGUUCAUUUGUGAUUUUACCUCUAGGUACUUGCAUCAGAUUUAAAUAAUCAUAGCGCUCCCAAACAACUGCAAUAAUGAGGAUAAGCCCUACUACUUUUUGGGGGUAGAAAGUAAGGAAAGGAAGGAAAACAAAAGGCAAGGCUAAUCAUUGAUUGUGUUUGCACAACUCAACGUUUUUCAGCAGUUUUUCUUUAAAGGAAUUCACACCGCAUUGUCUUCAAAAGCAACGCAUUUGUAUCUCACUUAUUUUUGUUGAUACACUGAUAGGCCAAUAUGAUGGCCCCCUUUGAUGUCAUGUGCACACAUUUGGGCAAAAGUCUGCAGUGGUUGACUCAGAUUACUAAAUUAAUCUGAAGUAUGCAUGCAUGUGGGCUUGUGCAAAACAUGAAGCUUUACAGUGUAUCCUUGAGAAAAGAAGAAGAGCGAGUAAUUGUGUAGCUUAAAAUAGAAUGCUCAAUUUACACUAAGUUUAUGCAUACAUUGGCCAAAUGGAUCAUGACAAAUUCCCCUUUUUAACAUGAAACCUGCCACAUAAAAAAAAGGAUCACAAACCGUAUCAUGCGCCUCGCAGCAAUGCUUCAUAUUUAGGUAGGGAGAAGGGACCCAUGACAAACUUAAAUUAUUCACUAAUGUACUGUGUUCGACAGAACGAGCAAUUUGCAGAGAUAAUUCCUUAUUGAGAAUUCUGGAAAGCUGAAAGUAUUAGUUCUCAGGGAAUCAAAGACAGUGCACAUAUUGGUUUACUAUAGAGGAUAACCAGAAAUAGAGGAUUAUGAUGAUUUGAAUUCAAACAUCAGUGAUCUUUGCAUUCAGGCGCUCAAUAGCUUUAGAUUAAUCAUUAUUUAUGCUAGGCAAUAAUGCAUGCUGGCUAUCAGCCCAUCACCUUUUUUUUUGAGAUGCACUCAUUGGUCUUUUGGAGGUGACACACUCAGUAGUGUUUCAGACUUUCAGUCCUUUGUUUAUUGGCAUGCACAGUACUAGCUAGCAAUGUUUUCUGGUCGGCUGGUCGAUCCUGGGACCGACCUGGCGAUUAAUCGUGAUUAAUCAGCGACCAGGUCGAUUAAUCGACCCUGGUCGUCCCCCUGGUCGUCCCUGGUCGUCCAGGCAUAUCAGCUGGUCGACCUAUAUAUAUACCUCUAUAUAUACACUAUAUUAUACACAAUAAAGGAAGCAUCAAAACUGCAUUACUGUAAACCAACAUUCAUCUUCACCUUCAACUCUUUUUGAUGUAAACCACCAUCUCCUUCUUAACUAUUUCUGAACUGGGACAACCAACAACAUCUCCAUACCCCCCACAUAUCUGCCCAGUCAAAAAAGCCCAAAAACAGAGCACACAACCUGGUCGUCCAUGUCCUAAUCGAACGAUUAAUCGCGAUAAGUGGACGACUAAUCGGACGACCAGGUUUCUGGUCGACCUGGUCGGGUCGGACCUCCUAAUCGAGCACUCCUGACCGACCAGGACGAUUAAUCGCGAUUAAUCGGACGACCUGAAAACAUUGCUAGCUAGUCCUAUCUAUAAUGGUUGGUGUGAGUGGAUUGGUGCAGCCGUCGGUGACACAAAUAAACACUUCUACAUUUUCAUUUUUUUUCAUUUUUAUUUUUGGAAAAAAUACUAGUGACAGGUAGAUAAUAUCUGGAGCACAAAUGAUACUCAUCUAUAGAUGAUUUUGCAAAUUCAGACAGUAGUAUAACCGUAACACACCGAUGUAUACACAAAAACUUUCUAUUUCUGAUUUCCGUACAAGGGCUAUUCUAACUACUUUGAACUGCAAAAAAUUUCAUCUCUACACCAACAUUCCAAAUAGUCCGACACUGCCCCCUUUUGGUGGUUAGCGAGCCCAAGGGUCAAAGUUCAGGUAGCUUGAUUAUCACUACUUUAUCUAGAACUGGACCAUAUAGCCAUGUGCAGGCGUGUUGCUAGCAGCAUUGCCAUUGUACAGACUCGAUAGGUGACCAUAAAAGAGGAGAGCUAAUAAGCACUGUCUUCUGAGGAAAAAAAUGAAGACAGAGGUCAGUCACAAGGCGAUAGCAGCAGGUGGCAAGAUGACAGUGCUCCAUGCUCCAGUUGGAGUGAGGAGCAUCGCCACCUCCUUGGUGGCUUUCUUCAUCUUGGCCAGCUCCAUCGUCUUCCUCUUCGACAAAGGCCAGGAAGAUCGAGUGCAAAUGGCAGUCGAGCAUGGACGCCAAGAAGUGCAGGUGAAGCUGGAAACUGGGCUACAAGAACCAGCGAUCAGAGGGACAACUGAAGAGGGGGACGCCAGCAACGAGGAGUGCAACUGGUCGAGGGGGCAGUGGGUGUAUGACAAUGUGUCCCGGCCAUUGUACAACGGGCUCAAGUGCACCUUCAUCUUCCCCGAGGUGGCCUGUGACAAGUAUGGAAGGAAGGAUGUCAUGUACCAGCACUGGAGAUGGCAGCCUCAUGGAUGCGACCUCCCAAGGUAUGAUGAUUAUUACAGAUUUCCCAAGUAUUUUUAGCUCAAGCCCAAAAAAUUCAGCAUGUCUGAACUUCUGAAGGUGCAGUUUUCAAAUGAUAAGGUCUAUCAGUACAAGUCAAGAAUUUUCCAAGGGUAGUAAAUGUUUUUGUUUUAUAGAAGCAUAAAAAUACUCAGAUAAUCUGUAACUGAAUAAAAACACAGGAUAGUACACCAGAAAGGAAGAAACGAUUGCAAAACUUAUCUCAUUAGAGUGGUUAGUCGUUAGCUGCAUGGCAACUAAUUUUUUAGGCAACUAAUUGACAGUGAAAGAUCCUACCUUUUUAUUUUUAUCAUCUGUACUGUUUUAAAAGCUUGUAUAUAAGAGUAGAAAGGAGAUCAUAUUUAGCAUAACUUUGCAUAGAAUUUUUUUGACAUGCUGUCUGAAUUUUACCUUUUUAAAACAGAUUCGAUGCCAUCAAGCUGCUUGAAAAGCUGAGGAACAAAAGAUUGGUGUUUGUGGGUGACUCAGUCAACAGGAACCAAUGGGUCUCUCUCGUGUGCAUGGUGGAGGCCUCAAUACCCGAUGACAGGCUCAAGACACGCAUCUUCAAUGGCGCGCUCAUCUCCUUCAAGGCAUUGGUAUGCUUCCCUUAACAAAUCUACAGGCUACAGAAACUAACAAUUUUAUCUGGUUAGCUGGUCUGAACAUAUAAUCAUUUUCAGGAAUACAAUGCAACAAUAGAUUUCUACUGGUCACCACUACUGGUGGAGUCUAACAGCGACAACCCCAUUAUCCACCGGGUGGAGUACCGGAUCAUAAGGGCAGACAGAAUUGAGAAGCAUGCCAGUGUCUGGAGGGAUGCUGACAUCAUUGUCUUCAAUUCUUACCUGUGGUGGAGGAAGCAGAAGGAUGACAUGAGGAUGAAGGUCAUGUAACUUCCUAAUCAUAGCUCAAAGGUAUAGAACCGUCAGUUUCGCAUAUCAGGAAAAAGAUACUAGAACUGGUAAUUUAAAAUGCAUUAACAUAGUUACUGCAAUCAGCGAAUAGGUAAUCAACACUUUUAUGUGCAGGU